AUGUCUAAAAUGUUCCUGGUGGGGAAGUUGGGGGAGGCUAAUGCAAAAAAAAAGUUGAGAAGAUCACAAAACAACCAGAAAAUAUACAACAAAAUGGUAGGAGUAAGUCCCUACUUAUCAAUAACAAAAUUAUGUGAUAACAAUAACAAAAACAAAAAGAAUGUGAAUCUAAACUCCCCAUUUAAAAGACAUGGAGUGUCAGAAUGGUUUUUUUUUUAAAGGAUAUAACAAUCUUUUGCCUACAAGAAACACACUUUUGUGUACACAGACAUACAUAGACUCAAAAUAAAGGGAUAGAAAAAGAUCUUCCAUGCCAAUGGAAACCAAAAACAAGCAGGAGUGACUAUAUUUACAGCAGACAAAUUAGGUUUCAAAAUAAAAACUAUAAAAAGAGAGAAGAUCAUUAUAUAAUAUUAAAGGGGUCAAUUCAGUAAGAAGAUAUAACAAUUGUAAACACAUAUGCAUCCAAUGCUGGAGCACCCAGAUGUAUAAAGCAAACAUUGUUGGAGGUAAUGAGAGACCCCCAAAUACAUUAAAAUUUCAAGACUUCAACACCCCACUUUCAGCACUAGACAGAUCAUCCGGAGAGAAGAUCAACAGGACAGAUUAUCCAGACAGAAAAUCAACAAAGAAACAUUGGACUUUAUCUGCACUAUAGAACAAAUGGACCUAAUAGGUAUUUACAGAACACUUCAUCCAACAGCUACAGAAUACAUUCCUCUCCUUAGCACGUGGAUCAUCCUCAAGAACAGACCACAUGUGGCCAGGUGUGGUAGCUCACGCCUGUAAUCCCAGCACUUUGGGAGGCCAGGGCAGGUGGAUCACCUGAGGUCAGGAGUUUGAGACCAACCUGGUCAACAUGGUGAAACCCUGUCUCUACAAAAAAUACAAAAAUUAGCUAGGUGUGGUAGUGGGUGCCUGUAAUCCCAGCUACUCAGGAGGCUGAGGCAGGAGAAUCACUUGAACCCAGGGGGUGGAGGUUGCAGUAAGCUGAGAUCGCUCCACGGCACUCCAGCCUGGGCAGCAAGAGUAAAACUCUGUCUCAAAAAAAAAAAAAAAAAAUUAGGCCACAAAACAAAUCUUAAAACAUUCCAUAAAACUGAAAUUAUAUCAUGUAUCUUCCCUGACCACAAUAAAAUAAAACUAGAAAGCAAAAGCAAAAGGAAAUUUGGAAACUAUACAAACACAUGGAAAAUAAACAACAUGCUCCUGAAUGACCAGUGGGUCAACGAAGAGAUUAAAAACAAAAUUUUAAAAUUUCCAGAAACAAAAAUAAUGUAAACCCAAUAUACCAAACCUAUGUGAUAUAGUGAAAGCAGUACUAAGAGAGAAUACAGCUAAAAGUGAAGUGCCUACAUCAAAAAGGCAAAACUUAAACAACCUAAUGAUACAUCUUAAACAAAUAGAAAAGCAACAGCAAGCCAAACCCAAAUAGAAGAAAAUAAAUAAAUAAUAAACAUCAUAGCAUAAAUAAGUGGAAUUGAAAUGAAUACAAAAGAUCAAUGAAACAAAAAGUUGGUUUUUAAAAGUCAAACAAAACUGACAAACCUUUAGCCAGACUAACUUAGAUAAAAAGUGACAAGACACAAAUAAAUAAAAUUAGAGAUAAAAAAGGAGAAAUUACAACUGAUACUGCAGAAAUUAAAAGGAUCAUUAGAGGCCACAAUGAGCAACUAUAUGCCAACAAACUGGAAGACCUACAAGAAAUGGAUAAAUUCCUAUACACAUACAACUUACCAAGAUUAAAACAUGAAGAAAUCCAAAAUCUGUGAACAGACCAGUAACACGUAAUAAGAUCGAAGCUACUAUAAAAACUCUCCAAGCAAAGAAAAGCUCAGGACCAAUAGUUUCACUGCUGAUUUUAACAUUUAAAGGAAAAUUAAUACCAACUCUACUCAAACUAAUCCAAAAAGUAGACAUGGAGGGAAUACUUUCAAACUCGUUCUAUGAGACCAAUGUUACUCUGAUACCAAAACCAAAUAAAGGCACAUAAAAAAAAGGUAAACUAUAGGCCAUUAUCUCUGAUGAACACUGAUGCAAAAAUCCUCAACAAAAUACUAGUAAACCAAAUGCAACAACACAUUAAAAAAUCAUUCAUCAUGACCAAGGAGUAUUUAUUCCAGGAAUGCAAGAAUGGUUCAACAUCUGCAAAUCAAUCAUCGUGAUAUAUCAACAGAAUGAAGGACAAAAACCAUAUGACCAUUUCAACUGAUGCACAAAGAGCAUUUGAUAAAAAUAAAAACCUCUCAUGCUAAAACCCCUCAAAAAAUUGAGUAUAGAAAGAACAUACCUCAACAUAAUGAAAGCCAUAUAUGACAGACCCACAGCUAGUAUCACACUGAAUAGGGAAUAUGAAAUAGGAAAUAGGGAAAAACUGAAAACCUUGAAUAUCUGGAACCUGACAAGGUUGUCCACUUUCACCACUGUUAUUCAACAUAGUACUGGAAGUCCAAGCUAGAGCAAUCAGACAAGAGAAAGAAACAAAGGACAUCCAAAUUGGAAAGAAGUGAGUAAAACCAUCCUUAUUUACAGGUGCCAUGAUUUUAUAUUGGGAAAAACUUAAAGACUACACACACACACACACACACACACACACACACACACACACACACACACACACAAAACUAUUAGAACUCAUAAACAAAUUCGGUAAAGUUGCAGGAUACAAAAUCAAUAGACAAAAAUAACUACCAUUUCUAUAUAUCAAGAGCAAACACUAUGAAAAAGAAAUUAUGAAGGUAAACCCAGCACUUUGGGAGGCAAAGGUGGGAGGCCAGGAGCCCACAGACCAGCCUGGGCAACACAACAAGACUCUGUCUCUACAAAAAAAUAUAAAAAAUUAGCCAGGUAGUGGAGUGGUAUGAACCUGUAGUCCUACCUACUCAGGAGGCUGAGGUGGGAGGAUCACUUGAGCCCAGGAGGUUGAGGCUGUAGUGAGCUGUGAUCACACUACUGCAUUCUAGCCUAGGCAACAGAUCCUGCCUCAAAAAAAAAAAAAGGAUAAUUUCUACUUAAGAUUUUAUUGACAUCAGUAGUCCUGAGCACUAGUCCUGUUAGGAUUAAAAUCUUGAUCCACUUCUACCACUAACAAGUAACUUAACAUGGAGCCUCAAUAAGUUGCUUAAUAUCAAGGUAUCUCAGAUUUUUUUUUUUUUUAAUUUGGGAUUGCUCUAAGGAGUCUAUAAAUGUGAGUAUUCUAUCAAAAUGUACCACAUCAUUAGUGCAAUUUUAAAUAUUAAAAGGCAGAUGUCAAACCAAAAAGCAAAUUAAAGAGAACCCAACAUACAAAUUAUUAGCAUGUAGGGAAGUAUAUAGCUAUGCAAAUAACACACUUGGUUAAUAUAAUUUUCUAAUUGGGACUUCUGAUGUGUGUAUAUAAGUAAGCUAACUUUAUUCUUCAACUACAAGUACAGAACCACACCCUUUCAAACUGAAUCAUGUACAUGGCUGUAUUUUAGCCAAAACAUAGACAACAUGCAGCAUUUUCAUCUAACGCUUAGCAGACCUACUCUACCACUGAACCAUACAAAAUAUUAUCUGUUUUUAUAUCUACAUGGGGAGCUCCCUAUAUUUACAGAUAAUGGAAUGCAGACUGUACCCUGGAACUGAUUAAAAACAUUCAAAAAAUUUUUUUAUUUUUUUUAUUAUACUUUAAGUUCUAGGGUACAUAGCACAAUGCAGGUUUGUUACAUAUGGUAUACAUGU
rnacentral:lncRNA from 1 species